rnacentral:lncRNA from 1 species
GGCUUCAACAGGCAGGGUUUAUUUUCUUACGCUUGGAGCUCUCCAGGUAGGCAGCUGGAGACACUGGGUUAGCAGCUGCCCAGUGUCCAAUCAGGGCCUGUGACGGCUGCAACUCCAAGAUCAAGGGACCUUUGCCCAGCACUGAAAAAUGGGAGCCCAUUAGGAAGGAGGUGGCUGUUUGGUAGCAACGAACGGUGUCUGCCACGGGGAGGCCAACAAUGGAGGCAGAGCGUUGCCGUUGAAGGGAACAGCCAGGCCACCCCCUAAGACUGGGGGGAAGGGGGUGUGGGUGGAGGCCUCAAGGGCAAACUGGGUCACUGUAAGGGGUUUGGAUUUUCUUCUGAGAAGCCUGCGAAAUUUUGAGCAGGAAUAGAUGCUCAAGCCCAGCCUGAUGUUUUAUUUGUUUAUUUGCAGACAGGGUCUCACUCUGUCCCCGAGGCUGGAGUGCAGUGGUACAAUUAUAGCUCACUACAGCCUCGACCUAGUGGGCUGAAGUGAUUCUCCCACCUCAACCUCCCAAAUUGCUAGGACAAAUGCUACCACGCCUGGCUAAUUAAAACAAAUAUUGUUGGCCAGGUGUGGUGGUUCACACCUGUAAUCCCAGCACUUUGGG